CCUACGGGAGGCAGCAGUGGGGAAUAUUGCGCAAUGGGCGAAAGUCUGACGCAGCGACGCCGCGUGAGGGAUGAAGGCCUUCGGGUCGUAAACCUCUUUCAGCAGGGAAGAAGCGCAAGUGACGGUACUUGCAGAAGAAGCACCGGCUAACUACGUGCCAGCAGCCGCGGUAAUACGUAGGGUGCAAGCGUUGUCCGGAAUUAUUGGGCGUAAAGAGCUCGUAGGCGGUCUGUCGCGUCUGCUGUGAAAACCUAGGGCUUAACUCUGGGCGUGCAGUGGGUACGGGCAGACUAGAGUGCGGUAGGGGAGACUGGAAUUCCUGGUGUAGCGGUGAAAUGCGCAGAUAUCAGGAGGAACACCGGUGGCGAAGGCGGGUCUCUGGGCCGUAACUGACGCUGAGGAGCGAAAGCAUGGGGAGCGAACAGGAUUAGAUACCCUGGUAGUCCAUGCCGUAAACGUUGGGCGCUAGGUGUGGGGUCCAUUCCACGGAUUCUGCGCCGCAGCUACGCAUAGCGCCCGCCGCGGGAGGACGGCCGCGAGGAACGUAAACGUACAAAUUAGUAAGUUAGUUACGGCGUUGAGACGNGCCGACGGACGACGACGAGGGAGGAGG
rnacentral:rRNA from 1 species